rnacentral:rRNA from 1 species
AGUGAACGCUGGCGGUAGGCCUAACACAUGCAAGUCGAACGGCAGCACAGGAGAGCUUGCUCUCUAGGUGGCGAGUGGCGGCCGGGUGAGGAAUACAUCGGAAUCUGCCCAGUCGUGGGGGAUAACGUAGGGAAACUUACGCUAAUACCGCAUACGACCUUCGGGUGAAAGAGGGGGAUCGCAAGACCUCUCGCGAUUGGAUGAGCCGAUGUCGGAUUAGCUAGUUAGCGGGGUAAUGGCCCACCAAGGCGACGAUCCGUAGCUGGUCUGAGAGGAUGAUCAGCCACACUGGACCUGAGACACGGUCCAGACUCCUACGGGAGGCAGCAGUGGGGAAUAUUGGACAAUGGGCGCAAGCCUGAUCCAGCCAUACCGCGUGGGUGAAGAAGGCCUUCGGGUUGUAAAGCCCUUUUGUUGGGAAAGAAAUCUUUCAGGCUAAUACCCGGGGAGGAUGACGGUACCCAAAGAAUAAGCACCGGCUAACUUCGU